rnacentral:lncRNA from 1 species
AUGUACGUUAACAUGUGGUGCACAAAUGUGCGUUCACAUCUGGCGCGCACAUGCUGGUGCGCCGGUGCAGUUUCGGUUUCGGUGACGCAUUUUGUAACGUCACAUGUGUAGUCGUUGAUAAAGUGGCAGCGCGCACACAUACCGUUGUAGUACACCUGAAGUGAUGUAAUAUACAUAUACCUUAACAACUUACAUUUUACUUUAGUUAUUGCGAAGUGCUGCAGAGAAAAACAGCUGCUCGUUAAGUGUGCGAGUUUCUCACAACAGUACGCCAUCAAGGAAUUCUCGUUGAAUUAUGCUUUACUUGCGAAGUAGGCAGUUCUAUUUCCUUUUUUCUUUCGAAGGUGUUAUGACCGUUUGAGAUAUUCACUUUGCAGGUCAGUCCAGCACAGCGCAAAAGAUAAAGUGUAACACAUUGUUGGCCGCAUCACCAUCGCCACCACCAUUGUCAUGGGCUGUUUAAACAAAUCGGAAAGUCUUGAUCCUAUAGUAAAUUGUGCGUUAUCGCUACUAUUACAGUUAACAGGGCAAAAGUGUGUGCAUCUAACUUACCACAAGUGAGGAUGGUUACCUUUCAUGCCAAGUAUGCUGCAGCCCGCAAGGCCGGAGCUCUUCAGAGACAAGGGUUGGUCAUCCUGCAGAGCCUGGAAAGCUUUAACUGGGCAGAGAAGACCACCUUUACAUCAGCAUGUUUAGCGAUCUUUUUAAAAUUACGGGACACGCGAAGCACAUAGGGAAUCAUGGCCAGCUUUACAUUGUCCUGAGGAGGUUCUUUGUUCAGAUGGCAGUUUUGCGGCUUCUUCAGGGUCUUUUCUGCUACAGACACCAGAAUGGCUUGUGGGUAGCCUGCCUCCUCUAGACUGUCAAACUACUUGAGGAAACUAACCGUUGCUCUAUGUCGGCAGGACUUCUUUAAAGCAUUCAGCAAUGGCGAUGCUACGUUUGACGAGCUUAGAGUGGGACGAGCUAAAAGGUAGCAGUGCUUUGUUUGCACGAGGCUCGUACUGCCAACAUACAUGGUCAGCUGCAAACAAAGCACUGUGCCUGCUCUGUUGUCGCGUGACGCCAUGAUAAAUGGGUAACAUUAAUGAUUGAGGCCAAGACAACCAUCGAAGCAGGCAAUAAGUGUUUAGCGGUGCUGCAAUUUCACUAUCACCAAAAGAGUGUUUUUACUUGAAUGCAACUGCACAUUGAUGAUUUGUGACAGCAAAUGCUGUAUAUAUACCCUGUGCUCAUUUCGUAAUAAACAUUGCUGGAAGAGGCGCUCCGUGUGUGUGUGUACUCUCCCGUUUGUCCGUUGUCGUCGACACACCUUACAGUUCCCAACAAUGCAAGCAGUGCCAAAAUAGCUGACGCCGUUUUGCACUCACUUUCAUUAUCAUUCACAAUGGAACUUCUUGAGAACUAGUGAGACAGGAGAUCGCUUCCUUAUGCCUCAAGUCAACUUUAACCUAACCAUGCACACAAAAGAUCAAUGAUAGUUUCAACCUAGAGGUUUUAUAACCUACAGCCUAGGGAUUCCCUUCAAGUUUGCUUGUUGCUGUGGGAUCAACCCUUACAAGCCCAGUGUAAUGCCUAUGACCCACUGUAAUGCCUGUAAAGGUUCUGUGUGCACUUUAGUAAAUAAAUAAAUUGUGAACAGCAACAGCUAGCUCAGCAUACACAGACUCUGAAAACAGGCUUAGCCAUAGGGGUCCAGAUGACCAGGACUGAGGGCCCAACCUCUCCAGCUGGCAUGAGCCAGAGAUGAUGGUUGCACCUGAUGUUAUUUUUUAUUUAAUUUUAUGUAAUUUAACAAUGUCUCUGUAAUAACAGGAAUUAUGAACAUGUUAUUUUGUGUACUGUACUUGCAGAGUGUUAGGCGAGAUGUAAUAUUGGACAUUGUGUUCUUCAAUAGACAACUGGUGGAUAAUUGCGUAUGUAACUACCUGACUCACUACCACAAGACAGCAGCCCUAACCUCUGACACCUCAGCACAAGUUUAUGCUGUGUUCAGUAAAACUUCGACAUGAGCUGCCUCUCAUGAUAAGUUACUGUGGUCACCAAUUUCCAGCUGAUGUUGUGGAAGUAUUGCCUUGUUUCUGUGGUUCAACUUCCAGCACUCAAUGCCUUCUCAUCCACAAAGCAUAACCAACAGCAUAACCUGAUCGACCGCAUGAACCAAACAUUGAUCAACAUGUUAUAAAACGGCACUUCAUAUCGCAAGAGCUGGCGAUAAAGCAUCAUUUAGUGUGAUGUACACUUUUAACACUGCCAGUCACAAAACAACUGGCUAUAGCUUUUUCUUUCUCCUUUUAGUUCACCCACCUCACUGGAUACUAUCUUUUACCUUCUAUGACAAUUCGUCUAUAGCGGAGACUUCACGUCAUGCAGAGGAUGCCCUCAGAGUUGCUCAUGCUUAUGUAUGUAGGCUUCAUGAGAAAGCUCCAAAACAUGCCAUGAUAAUUAGCUCAAAUACAUUACCUACGUUUUUGGUGACCUCGUGUGGCUGUGAACACCAAUAUGUAAAUGUGGCUUGUGUCAAAAGCUACUUGCGGACGAUGCCAGACUGCUGUUCAUCCCUGAUCGUCUAAGCUAACUACAAAUUUGCACUCCUUACUUCAAGUGGCCCAUCAAAGACUGAGGUGAUGCAUGUUGCCUGUCUGAAGCCCUUCACACGAAGGCAUCAAGAGUGACUCACGAGGAGGGCUUCGUGUGGGAGAGUAGAAAUAUUAAAGCGUGUUGAUCACAAUAGA